rnacentral:rRNA from 1 species
CAUACCGGAGGAAAAGAACCAACAGGGAUUGCCUUAGUAACGGCGAGUGAACGCGGCAAAGCUCAAAUUUGCAAUCUGGCACUUUCAGUGUCCGAGUUGUAAUUUGAAGAAGGUAACUUUGGAGUUGGCCCUUGCUCUAUGUGUGGAACAGGACGUCACAGAGGGUGAGAAUCCCGUGCGAUGAGGUGUCCAAUUCUAUGUAAAGUGCAUUGAAAAGUCAAGAAGUUUGGGAGUGUUGCAGCAGGCAGUUGGAGUUAGUGAUAAAUUUCAAUAAAUGCCAAAAAAAGGCGAAAACGGAAAGGAAAAGAACGAUGAAAAGUAGAGUGAAAAGGGAUUGAAAUAUGACUAGGAAUUUUGGAAGGGUAAGGGUGUGAGAUGGGACUCGGUAUCUUGUUGAGCUAUCCUUCGUGGAGAGGUUUAUUAGCAGCUUACCGGGCCAGCAUCGGUUUGGAUGGUAGGAUAAUGGCAUUGGAAUGUGGCUCCUCGGAGUGUUAUAGCCUUAAUGAUACUGCCUAUCUAGUCCAGAUAUAGCCUCUUCUAGUCGGAUGCUGGCGUAAUGUUCUUAAGCCGCCCCUGGGCGUAAAUAGAUACUAUAAGCCGCCNUCUUGAC